AGGGGUUCCGCUACCCGUUAGCCUUUAACAUUCAUAAUCAGUUUCCAGGGCCGUCCCCAUACCCCGUCCGGUAUGGGCGCCAAAACCAUGAACCUCAAUACCCCGUCCGGUAUGAGGGUGAAACGGGCCGUCCCCAUACCCCGUCCGGUAUGGGCGCCAAAACCAUAAACCUCAAUACCCCGUCCGGUAUGAGGGUGAAACGGGCCGUCCCCAUACCCCGUCCGGUAUGGGCGCCAAAACCAUAAACCUCAAUACCCCGUCCGGUAUGAGGGUGAAACGGGCCGUCCCCAUACCCCGUCCGGUAUGGGCGCCAAAACCAUAAGAUCUCCAUACCCCGUCCGGCAUGUGAGACCACAAUCCCGGUAGGGUUCCCUACGGACCCGGUCCGUCCACCAUCUCCCAGGAUAUCUAGUCAGGCUGACCCCCAAUAUACAAUCAUCAGUCUACACAAUCUUUCAUUCUCCUUUUCCUCAAUCAGCAUCAUCAAUUCACAUUUAAACAAGCAACCAGUAAUUCAUGCCAAACAGACAACAUACAGUAUCAGUUUUUCAGUCAUUUAACCCAUGAUUAAUAAAAACGUAGUAUAUGCACACAAAUCUGUAAAAUGAACACAUCAAACCUCAUUUUGCAUUUAAAGCUGUAAACAGGCCAAAUAACAGUAAAUCACCAAUCACACUAG
rnacentral:lncRNA from 1 species